rnacentral:rRNA from 1 species
GAAGAGAGGAGCUUGCUCUUCUUGGAUGAGUUGCGAACGGGUGAGUAACGCGUAGGUAACCUGCCUUGUAGCGGGGGAUAACUAUUGGAAACGAUAGCUAAUACCGCAUAACAAUGGAUGACACAUGUCAUUUAUUUGAAAGGAGCAAUUGCUCCACUACAAGAUGGACCUGCGUUGUAUUAGCUAGUAGGUGAGGUAAUGGCUCACCUAGGCGACGAUACAUAGCCGACCUGAGAGGGUGAUCGGCCACACUGGGACUGAGACACGGCCCAGACUCCUACGGGAGGCAGCAGUAGGGAAUCUUCGGCAAUGGGGGCAACCCUGACCGAGCAACGCCGCGUGAGUGAAGAAGGUUUUCGGAUCGUAAAGCUCUGUUGUAAGUCAAGAACGGGUGUGAGAGUGGAAAGUUCACACUGUGACGGUAGCUUACCAGAAAGGGACGGCUAACUACGUGCCAGCAGCCGCGGUAAUACGUAGGUCCCGAGCGUUGUCCGGAUUUAUUGGGCGUAAAGCGAGCGCAGGCGGUUUGAUAAGUCUGAAGUUAAAGGCUGUGGCUCAACCAUAGUUCGCUUUGGAAACUGUCAAACUUGAGUGCAGAAGGGGAGAGUGGAAUUCCAUGUGUAGCGGUGAAAUGCGUAGAUAUAUGGAGGAACACCGGUGGCGAAAGCGGCUCUCUGGUCUGUAACUGACGCUGAGGCUCGAAAGCGUGGGGAGCGAACAGGAUUAGAUACCCUGGUAGUCCACGCCGUAA